GUACACACACAUACACAACUCCAUAUACACACACACACAGAACUACAUAUACACACGAAUACACAACUCCAUAUACACACACUCACACACACACAACUACAUAUACACACACACACACACACACAGAACUACAUAUACACACAAAUACUCUACUCCAUAUACACACACACUCACUCACACAGAACUACAUAUACACACAAAUACACAACUCCAUAUACACACACACACUCACACACACAACUACAUAUACACACACACACACACAGAACUCCAUAUACACACACACACAGAACCACAUAUACACACGAAUACACAACUCCAUAUACACACACACUCACUCACACAGAACUACAUAUACACACGAAUACACAACUCCAUACACACACACACACACAGAACUACAUAUACACACGAAUACACAACUCCAUAUACACACACACAUACACAACUCCAUAUACAUACACACUCCCACACACUCAACUACAUAUACACACACUAAUACACAACUCCAUAUACACACACACAGAACUACAUAUACACACGAAUACACAACUACAUACACUCACACGCACACACAGAACUACAUAUACAUACACACACACAUACACAACUCCAUAUAUACACCCCCACACACACAACCACAUAUACACACGAAUACACAACUCCAUAUACACACACACAGAACUACAUAUACACACGAAUACACUACUCCAUAUACACACACGAAUACACAACUCCAUAUAUACACACACACAGAACUACAUAUAUACACACGCAUACACACACACACACACACACACACACAGAACUACAUAUACAUACACACACACAUACACACCUAAAUAUAAACACACACAUACACAACUCCAUAUAUACACCCCCACAAACACAACUCCAUAUACACACACACACACACAUAUACAACUCCAUAUAUACACACACGCACACACAGAACUACAUAUACACACACACGCAUACACAACUUCAUAUACACACGAAUACACAACUCCAUAUACACACACACAUACACAACUCCAUAUACACACAAACACAGAACUACAUAUAAACACACGCAUACACAACUACAUAUACACACACAUGCAUACACAACUAGAAGGUGUGUCCAUACUUUUGGUCUGUACUGUAAAUACACACACACACAUGCUUACACAACAACAUAUACACACAACUACAUAA
rnacentral:lncRNA from 1 species